rnacentral:rRNA from 1 species
GACUCGUCACACUAUCAUUAACUGAAUCCAUAGGUUAAUGAGGCGAACCGGGGGAACUGAAACAUCUAAGUACCCCGAGGAAAAGAAAUCAACCGAGAUUCCCCCAGUAGCGGCGAGCGAACGGGGAGGAGCCCAGAGCCUGAAUCAGCAUGUGUGUUAGUGGAAGCGUCUGGAAAGGCGCGCGAUACAGGGUGACAGCCCCGUACACAAAAGCGCAUGUGCUGUGAGCUCGAUGAGUAGGGCGGGACACGUGGUAUCCUGUCUGAAUAUGGGGGGACCAUCCUCCAAGGCUAAAUACUCCUGACUGACCGAUAGUGAACCAGUACCGUGAGGGAAAGGCGAAAAGAACCCCGGCGAGGGGAGUGAAAAAGAACCUGAAACCGUGUACGUACAAGCAGUGGGAGCACCCUUUGGGGUGUGACUGCGUACCUUUUGUAUAAUGGGUCAGCGACUUAUAUUCUGUAGCAAGGUUAACCGUAUAGGGGAGCCGUAGGGAAACCGAGUCUUAACCGGGCGUUAAGUUGCAGGGUAUAGACCCGAAACCCGGUGAUCUAGCCAUGGGCAGGUUGAAGGUUGGGUAACACUAACUGGAGGACCGAACCGACUAAUGUUGAAAAAUUAGCGGAUGACCUGUGGCUGGGGGUGAAAGGCCAAUCAAACCGGGAGAUAGCUGGUUCUCCCCGAAAGCUAUUUAGGUAGCGCCUCGUGAAUUCAUCUCCGGGGGUAGAGCACUGUUUCGGCUAGGGGGCCAUCCCGGCUUACCAACCCGAUGCAAACUGCGAAUACCGGAGAAUGUUAUCACGGGAGACACACGGCGGGUGCUAACGUCCGUCGUGAAGAGGGAAACAACCCAGACCGCCAGCUAAGGUCCCAAAGUCAUGGUUAAGUGGGAAACGAUGUGGGAAGGCCCAGACAGCCAGGAUGUUGGCUUAGAAGCAGCCAUCAUUUAAAGAAAGCGUAAUAGCUCACUGGUCGAGUCGGCCUGCGCGGAAGAUGUAACGGGGCUAAACCAU